CUUUUCAGGGCCACACCUAUGGCAUAUGGAAGUUCCCAGGCUAGGGAUCAAAUCGGAGCUGUAGCUGCCAGCCUAUGCCUCAGCCACAGUAACACAGGAUCCAAGCCAAGGCUUCAACCUACAGCACAGAUCAGAGCAAUGCUGGAUCCUUAACCCACUGAGGGAGGCCAGGGAUUGAACCCACAUCCUCAUGGAUCCUAGUCGGGACCAUUAACUGCUGAGCCACGAAGGGAACUCCUCCUCCAUUCUUUCUUGAAGUGAGUCAGUUCAGGUUCUCUUCAAUAUAACGCCAUGUCAGUAAAACUAUAGUUAUCAAUUCAUCAUUUCAUCCCCCCCCCCCACCAAAAUCCAUACGUUGAAGUCCUCACCACCAAUGUGGCUGCAUUUAGAGAUAAAACUUUAAGGAAGUAAUUAAGGUUAAUGAGAUCAGAAGGGCAGGGCCCUAAUCUAAUAAAACUGGUGUUCUUAUAAGAUGAUGCUAGGAUGUGAGAGCACAGAAAAAGGGCCAUAUGAAGCCACUGCAGGUAGGCUUCAUCUAUAAGUCAAAGAAGGAAGCCUCAGGUAAAACCAACCCUGCCAGCACUUUGAUUUAUGACUUCCAGACUCAGAACCGUAAGAAAAAAAAAAAAAAUCUGUGGUUAGAAUAAACAAUAGUCUAGGGUACUUUGUUAUAGCAGCCCAAACUGGCUAAUAGAACCUCCACAUUACUAAAUCCCAUGAUCAUUUUUUAUUUUGUCCACAUCUUACUUCGUGGGUCAGCAGCAUCUAAUACAGUUGAACAUUCUCUAAACAUGUGUCUCAAUCAACAAAUUCUUCUCUUAUCUUCUUAUCCACUCUGUCUCCACCUCCUUUUCUCAUUCAUUUCUCUGCUUCUAAAUGUUGAUAUGCUCCACAUCGACUACCAAACUCUCUUUACUAACUAACAUCGGUCCCUAGGUGAUCUCACUGGUCUCUUGGUUUUAGUUACCACCUAUAUACUAAUGGUCCCCAAAUUCAUAUCACCAGCCUAGAAGUGUCUCCAACCUCCAGACCUAAAUAUUCCAACUUUCUGCAAGAUAUCUGCACCUGAAUGUUUUACAGCCAAGUUAAAUUUGACAUAUCCCAAACUGAGAUUCUAAUAAACCACCGUCCCCCUCAACUACCCUAUGCCCCUUGCAGUUUUCCCAUCUCAAUUAAUAAAAACUCAAUUCUCCUGAAGCCAAAAUAAUUCUAUUUUUCUCACAACCCAGAUCCUGGCAAAUCUGUUGGUUCUGUAGCAUCUGAUGCUGCUCAGUUUCUAGUUUGCAGAUGGCCUUUGUAUCCUCACAAGGCAGAAAGCAGACAUAAAUAUUUAGUUGGUAGCACCAUCUAUAUAGGACUUCUUUUCUAAGGGGGUAUCCCUUACCCAGAGGACUCAAAAGAGCUGGCUAAAGAAGCCAUAUCUCACUCUCCAAGAUGAUGAGGCUCCUGGGCCAAAAUAAUUUAGCCAUAACUCAAGGACAGUUAAAUCCAUCAUUUUGUUAACUAACUUCUCACCAAGGCAGCCUCAUUUUACAAAGUGAGGUGAAUCAGUUAAAGCCCUCUACUGGGAGUUCCCUGGUCGCCUAGCAAUUAAGGAUCUGGCCUUGUCACUGCUAUGGCUGAGGUCAUUGUCGUGGUGUGGGUUCGACCCCUAGCCCAGUAACUUCUACAAGCCACGGGUGCAGCCAAAAAACAAAACAAAACAAAACAAAAAAAAUCCCUCUCCUCAGCAAAUGGCUUUGAGAACCUUAGAUAAAGCAGCCUGAUAAAAUUAAAGCAGGGAAUGACACAAAGAUGGCAAUGAAGGUCCAUGUGGAUAGAAAAGAUAGGAGGGGCAGAGAACAACAGGCAAAUUCAAAGGAAGUUCCGUCAUGGCGCAGUGGUUAACGAAUCCGACUAGGAACCACGAAGUUGCGGGUUCAAUUCCUGGCCUUGCUCAGUGGGUUAAAGAUCCAGGGUUGCCAUGAGCUGUGGUGUAGGUUUCAGACGCGGCUCGGAUCCCGAGUUGCUGUGGCUCUGGCGUAGGCUCGUGGCUACAGCUCCGAUUCAACCCCUAGCCUGGGAACCUCCAUAUGCCGCGGGAGCAGCCCCAAAAAUGGCAAAAAGACAAAAAAAAUAAAUAAAAAUAAAUAAAUAAAGCAAACAAAACUAAGGCCACAGAGCACAGAAGCUGUGAUAAUAAAACAAGGGUCUUCUUAAACAUACCAAAUUGCCUACACUAUUUUCAAGGUUAACUUGUACAGAUCUCUUUUCUUUUCAAACAAGCCAGUCUAACAAAUCAAUCAGCUAAGUGCAUAGUGAAGUUAUAUUUAUACUAAUUAUAUAAAAAUGUAUCUUUCUCAGGCAUUUGAGCUAAUGUUUGUUAAAUCAGGUGUGUUUAUUUGCUUGAGGGCAUCCACAAACCACAAUGUAGAGAACCAUAGUUAAAUGCCUUAAUGUUUAGGUCAAUUACAGAAAACAGUGUUUUUGUUGAAUGGCAUUUUGUUAAACCAAGUACAUUUCAUGAACUACUCCUUGCAAAUGAUCUCGUCUGUUGAAAAAGCUAGUGAAGCUCAGAAUUAUGUGGCCAUCAUUUGAAAUGAACUGGCAUUGAUGGGUACAGCAUCUUUGUGGUCUUCCCUUUUGUUCUUAAUUUUCAAAUACACUAAGCCAAAAAUCAACAAGAGAAGCUGGAGGGUGAUCAAGGGAGAAUGGAUGAAAGCUACGUUUUCAUGGGUGAUGCUGAUUUCAUGGCAUCUUUUGUGUGAAGGGGACAAAGACCAAAAUUGAUACUGGAGACAUUAAUCACACAAAAUCUGUCAUCAAGGAGGGACAUAACCAAUAAUUUUACCAUCAAAAGGCAAUCCAUAAUCAGGAGAAAAGGGAAUUGCAUUGCUGUGGGAUUCCACCCCUGAUAACUAAUUAAUGAGAUGCCAACUGCUAAAUACUAGAGCCAAAGCAGACUAAGGGUCUAUUUUUUCUGCAACAAAGGCAUUUAUCAAUGAACUGUAUUUAUUUCUUUAAUUUUUCUUUUUCUUUUUUUUUUUUUUUUUUUUUUUUUUUUUUUGGUCAGUUUGAGUUUUGAAAUGAAUCAUUUUUCAAAUUUUGGCCGUGAAAAUCCCUAAGCCUCAGGUAUAAAUUUGCUAGUUAGAAAAUUCUAAGCAUUUGCUCUUACCUUGAGUUAAAAUUUAAAUAAGUAUUAGACCAAGAAAAACAAGUUUUACGUAAAGGCCAAAUGGAUACAUAUUUUUGCAUACACAUGGUUUACGUUUCAUGCUGAGAGUAACAAAGGAAGUAGAAUAUGAAAAAGAAUAGAAUAAAAAAGGUGUCCUUGGACUUUAGACUUUAAAUCCACUUAAAAAAAUAGAUUUUAGGGAGGUGGUUGUUUUAUCUGAAUUGUUUUUUUUUCCCCCUUUCUAUUUCUAUCCUAGUUAUUAACUAAAUUAGAGUUAUUACCCAAAGAAUAGAGGUCCUAGAAUUAGGCCCAGAGGGAAUUCAAGGGGAACAGCUUUUGUGUAUGAAUUUGUGCUGUUCUUUCAAAGCAAGCCAUUCAGGCUUUCGACACUUUAUUUUAUCAAUGUUUUAGAAGGAACAACCAAAAAAAAAAAAAACAAAAAAACCAGGAUUAAUAUUGUGUGUGCAUAAGGGAGGGUGGAGGUGGGUAGUUGAGAUGUGAGUGGCUUGAAAGCAAAACAGAAACAGGCAUUGGUGGAAUUUAUAUCCGGUGGUUUCAAGGGAAAUGUUAGAGCUAGUGAACUAUUGUACCAUCCAGCUCCUACAACUCAAUUCCUAUUCUGAUAAAUCUGUCAAUCAAUUGCCACUAACAUCUCCCUUCACUGACUCGCACACUUUCUGUGAGUCCCAUGUUCUCUAGAUCUUGAACCAAGUUAAAACCUAAAACCUCUUUGGUCAAAACCAUGAGUCAUUUCUUACUGAACACAAAUCAUUUCAGCUCACUUGGGCACAAACCACACUUAUUCUUUUAUUUUAUUUUAUUUUUUGAGGAUUUACCAUGUAUCUACCCUGUCCAACGCCCAUUUCUGGCCCCUCAAAAGCCUGUCCUCUGCAGACCAACAGAUGGAGGCAGGUCUAACACCCAAGAAAUAUCAAAGCUGGGGGCAGGGGGGAAGAGUGGGACAAAUUGUGAUGACGACUUAAAGCAAAAGAAAUCUCCUCAUGAUUGAUCCCUUGAUGAAUUCCAUAAUUCAUAUAGAAAUGAAUAGGCUGUAUUAUGAUGGUAACUAUAAAUUAAUUGUGUCCAAGUUUACAGUACCCAUUAGAAAAGCUAGAACAAUUAAUAUUUUUUUAAAUUAGAAAAAGAAACCAAAAAAAAAAAAUCUUCUGUAUCUAGACAGUUCUAAACUGAUGAGUUUUUCUUGAUAUGUACCUUCUAUAAAGUGCUCUAAUAUGACUUUAAUUUUAAUGAUAUAGUCAUGUUAAGAGUGAAUAAACCUCACUUUGAAUCCCUUUUUAUUGUUCCAAUCUCAAUUUCCAAGAAGCCAUCAGCUGCUGAAGUUGCCACUGAAAUCUUUCCUAUGGUUUAAAAAUAAGUGUUUGAUUAAAAAUUUAUUGCUUUUUGUAAUAUACUAUAUGGUGGCAUAUUCAAAUAGACUUUUAAAAAUAUAUCUAUAUCAUCUUUACUUGUCAGAACAAGGAAGUUUUAAAUUGUUUUUAGGGUGUUUUAUGUAGAUUCUGUGCUUGGGUCCACAAACAUCAUUUGAGUUUUAAAAUAUAUGCAGACAGCAUUUGCGUUUCUCGUGCCAGUUCAUUCAUUAAGAGCACUAUAGCCUUCAUACUUUUCAUAUCAGUGGGCUCUUUAAAAUAUUGUAACAAAUGACCAUUUUUUUCAAAGACGUUUUUAAAUACAUCUGUUUCCACAAAAUGUUAAAAGCCCAAUCCUCUGCUUGAAAUCGGGAGACUUAACCCUCUAAUCCUCAUUAUACUGCUGACCUGUUUUCUGACAUUGGACAAAUCACAUCAAAAUCUUUAAUGAUUUCUCACUUGUUAAUAAUAAUGGCAACCAAAGCCAUAAAAGUUAAGAUGUAUCGAAUGUGUGUUUCACACCAGCGUCUACGUGUCUUAACUCACAUAGUCCUCACUGUACUCUAAUGAGAGGUCAGCACAGUUAUAAACUCCAUUUACUGAUGAGCAAAGUGAAGCACCCCAAAACCCAGUGUCUCCCAGCUAAUAAGUGGCAGAGUCAGGAUAGGGGCACUUUGACGUGAGAGCCCCUGCUUUCAUCCAGCAUGCUGUUACCUCUGAAAACUAACUCCCUAACGUGCCACUGAUAUCCUUCUACCUCUUGCUAUAUCCUUACUUUUCAGCAGCUCUCUCCAGAUAUCUUUGCCUCUAGACAAAUGAAACUCUUUUCGUUCCCAAUGUAUCUUCAAAUCUUUGCAGGCUGAGGAUUUUCACUAAGAUUUGUCCCUCUGACUAGAAUGUUCUUUGCCCAUCUCCACCAUUCCAAGUCCUGAUCAUCUUUCAAGAAUUAGGCAUUACUAGCAAUAACCAGCUGGAAGAUAAAUGCUCUCUACAAUAACACCAAAACUUUUAGCUACCAACUUAACAAAGAAGUCAUUUAUGGAAUCAUAGGAGAAAUUCUGAAUUAAAAGAAUGAUAAACUAUUUGUAUAGAUUAGGCAAUAUAUUAUGAUAAUGAUGUCAGUUUUUCCCAAGUUGUUCCACAAAUUCAAAGCAAAUGAUAAAAAUGUCAGCUAAUGUUUUAAAAAAUUGAUAAAACUCCUUCUAAUAUAAAUAUAGAAUAAUAAUGAUCUAAAAGUAAUUAUGCUAGUUUUGAAAAAAUAAAGAAUCAAUGCUGGGUGAAGUUGAAUUACUUCACCAUAUAUUAAGAUAUAUGGUUAUAAUAAGAGAAACAGUAUGGCAUAGGUGCAGGAAAAAAUGUCAAUGAAAUAGAAUGUAUAGCUUAUAAAUAGACCUAUUUAUACAAAAAAACUUAGGUUAUACAAAGCAAUGAAUGAUAAAGAUGGUGCUUCAAAGAGGGUAGAAUAGACUGUUUAAUACACAGUGUUGGGAAAGGAAGUUCCUAUUCUAUAGACAAAAAAUUAGAGUAGUUCUUCACCUAACACAAAGUGCAAAAUCAUAUUCCAUAAAGAUUAUAAAAAACAACUGAGGUAAUAUGGCUAAGCUAUCAGAAGAAAAUGUUCAUGAAUAUCUUUGUAAAUAUUUCUUGACGUAGUAAAGAUGAGAAAAGCAUCUUAAGAAUUUUCAUCUAAUAAAAAAUAUAAAAAAGGUAAGAAACAGAUAAGAGUCUGGAGAA
rnacentral:lncRNA from 1 species